rnacentral:rRNA from 1 species
ACUCCUACGGGAGGCAGCAGUGGGGAAUAUUGCACAAUGGGCGCAAGCCUGAUGCAGCAACGCCGCGUGAGCGAUGAAGGCCUUCGGUCGUAAGCUCUGUCCUCAAGGAAGAAUAAAUGACGGUACUUGAGGAGGAAGCCCGGGCUAACUACGUGCCAGCAGCCGCGGUAAUACGUAGGGGGCAAGGCGUUUAUCCGGAAUCACUGGGCGUAAGGGUGCGUAGGCGGUUUUUCAAGUCAGAGUGAAAGGCUAUGGCUCAACCAUAGUAAGCUUUUUGAACUGUUAAACUUGAGUGCAGGAGAGGAAAGUGGAAUUCCUAGUGUAGAGGUGAAAUUCGUAGAUAUUAGGAGG